AGAGAGCAAAAGUGGGCACCAUAAUCCUAUGGUUGACGACCAAACCAUUUCCAUGUGCGCCACGUAGAUUAUUGCGGGUGCAUGAUCUCAGCAUGAAGUGUCAUCAUCACUCGACCUCGAGAUCCUCCUCCUCGACUUUGAAUGCAGUAGCCAUUAUUUUGGUUUGUAGCUAAGUUUUGUCGUUGACGUAAACUGUGGACUUCAUUAAUAAAAUAGAAACUGAUCGUUAAAACGUAGAUACAGGCCAUAAACAAUGAACACUAUGAUUGACAUUUGCUGGUUGGUGAUUUACAAAUUGAACAAAUGAAGUGUUUAUAUUGUGUUUCUAAUUCUGUAAGAAGUUAGCAUAUAGGUGAACUGUGGAUUAUUAAAGUAUAUA
rnacentral:lncRNA from 1 species